GUGUCAGCAGCCGCGGUAAUACGGAGGGGGCAAGCGUUGUUCGGAAUUACUGGGCGUAAAGGGCGCGUAGGCGGGACGGCCAGUCAGGUGUGAAAUCCCCGGGCUCAACCUGGGAACUGCACUUGAUACUGCCGUUCUGGAGUCCGGGAGAGGGUAGUGGAAUUCCCAGUGUAGAGGUGAAAUUCGUAGAUAUUGGGAAGAACACCAGUGGCGAAGGCGGCUACCUGGACCGGUACUGACGCUGAGGCGCGAAAGCGUGGGGAGCAAACAGGAUUAGAUACCCUGGUAGUCCACGCCGUAAACGAUGUCAGCUAGACGUUGGGGGUUUCGCUCCCGGUGUCGGCGUUAACGCAUUAAGCUGACCGCCUGGGGAGUACGGCCGCAAGGUUAAAACUUAAAGGAAUUGACGGGG
rnacentral:rRNA from 1 species